UCUUCUCCGAUCUAAUUACGGCGC
rnacentral:siRNA from 1 species